UACAGAGGGGGCAAGCGUUGUUCGGAAUUACUGGGCGUAAAGGGCGCGUAGGCGGCCUUCUAAGUCGAACGUGAAAUCCCUGGGCUCAACCCAGGAACUGCGUCCGAUACUGGAAGGCUUGAAUCCGGGAGAGGGAUGCGGAAUUCCAGGUGUAGCGGUGAAAUGCGUAGAUAUCUGGAGGAACACCGGUGGCGAAGACGGCAUCCUGGACCGGUAUUGACGCUGAGGCGCGAAAGCUAGGGGAGCAAACGGG
rnacentral:rRNA from 1 species